rnacentral:rRNA from 1 species
UCUAAGGCCAUACCACCCUGAAAGUGCCCGAUCUCAUCAAAUCUCGGAAGCUAAGUUGAGUCGGGCCUGGUUAAUAUUUGGAUGGAAAAAAUUCUGAUAGCAAAUAGAA